rnacentral:rRNA from 1 species
CCUACGGGUGGCAGCAGUGGGGAAUAUUGCACAAUGGGGGAAACCCUGAUGCAGCGACGCCGCGUGAGCGAAGAAGUAUUUCGGUAUGUAAAGCUCUAUCAGCAGGGAAGAUAAUGACGGUACCUGACUAAGAAGCCCCGGCUAACUACGUGCCAGCAGCCGCGGUAAUACGUAGGGGGCAAGCGUUAUCCGGAUUUACUGGGUGUAAAGGGAGCGUAGACGGUAUGGCAAGUCUGAUGUGAAAGGCCGGGGCUCAACCCCGGGACUGCAUUGGAAACUGUCAUACUUGAGUGCCGGAGGGGUAAGCGGAAUUCCUAGUGUAGCGGUGAAAUGCGUAGAUAUUAGGAGGAACACCAGUGGCGAAGGCGGCUUACUGGACGGUAACUGACGUUGAGGCUCGAAAGCGUGGGGAGCAAACAGGAUUAGAUACCCUGGUAGUC